CUUAGCUAAAAUUUACCGCAGUAUAUCGCCAAAACUGCAGGUGAUAGUGAUAGGGGAACAAGCGGUCUCCGAUUUUAAGGAGUGAUAGCUCGUUAGAUUGGUCUUUCAAUUCUAGAGAAUCGUAUCUUUCAUUUUUUUCGAAUAUUUUUUUCAAUUUUCGGUUAAAGCGUUCAAAGUUGAA